GGGCUGCGGCGGACGGGUGAGUACACGUAGGCAACCUGCCUCUCAGACUGGGAUAACAUAGGGAAACUUAUGCUAAUACCGGAUAGGUUUUUGGAUCGCAUGAUCUGAAAAGAAAAGAUGGCUUUUCGCUAUCACUGGGAGAUGGGCCUGCGGCGCAUUAGCUAGUUGGUGGGGUAACGGCCUACCAAGGCGACGAUGCGUAGCCGACCUGAGAGGGUGACCGGCCACACUGGGACUGAGACACGGCCCAGACUCCUACGGGAGGCAGC
rnacentral:rRNA from 1 species